AGACCCGAAACCCGGUGAUCUAGCCAUGGGCAGGUUGAAGGUUGGGUAACACUAACUGGAGGACCGAACCGACUAAUGUUGAAAAAUUAGCGGAUGACCUGUGGCUGGGGGUGAAAGGCCAAUCAAACCGGGAGAUAGCUGGUUCUCCCCGAAAGCUAUUUAGGUAGCGCCUCGUGAAUUCAUCUCCGGGGGUAGAGCACUGUUUCGGCUAGGGGGCCAUCCCGGCUUACCAACCCGAUGCAAACUGCGAAUACCGGAGAAUGUUAUCACGGGAGACACACGGCGGGUGCUAACGUCCGUCGUGAAGAGGGAAACAACCCAGACCGCCAGCUAAGGUCCCAAAGUCAUGGUUAAGUGGGAAACGAUGUGGGAAGGCCCAGACAGCCAGGAUGUUGGCUUAGAAGCAGCCAUCAUUUAAAGAAAGCGUAAUAGCUCACUGGUCG
rnacentral:rRNA from 1 species